rnacentral:rRNA from 1 species
AGUCGAGGGGCAUCAGGGUGUAGCAAUACACCGCUGGCGACCGGCGCACGGGUGAGUAACACGUAUCCAACCUGCCCUUUACUCGGGGAUAGCCUUUCGAAAGAAAGAUUAAUACCCGAUGGUAUAACAUGACCUCCUGGUUUUGUUAUUAAAGAAUUUCGGUAGAGGAUGGGGAUGCGUUCCAUUAGGCAGUUGGCGGGGUAACGGCCCACCAAACCUUCGAUGGAUAGGGGUUCUGAGAGGAAGGUCCCCCACAUUGGAACUGAGACACGGUCCAAACUCCUACGGGAGGCAGCAGUGAGGAAUAUUGGUCAAUGGGCGAGAGCCUGAACCAGCCAAGUAGCGUGAAGGAUGACCGCCCUAUGGGUUGUAAACUUCUUUUAUAUGGGAAUAAAGUUUGCCACGUGUGGCAUUUUGUAUGUACCAUAUGAAUAAGGAUCGGCUAACUCCGUGCCAGCAGCCGCGGUAAUACGGAGGAUCCGAGCGUUAUCCGGAUUUAUUGGGUUUAAAGGGAGCGUAGGUGGACAUGUAAGUCAGUUGUGAAAGUUUGCGGCUCAACCGUAAAAUUGCAGUUGAUACUGCGUGUCUUGAGUACAGUAGAGGUGGGCGGAAUUCGUGGUGUAGCGGUGAAAUGCUUAGAUAUCACGAAGAACUCCGAUUGCGAAGGCAGCUCACUGGACUGC